ACUAAGCGUACACGGUGGAUGCCCUGGCAGUCAGAGGCGAUGAAGGACGUGCUAAUCUGCGAUAAGCGUCGGUAAGGUGAUAUGAACCGUUAUAACCGGCGAUUUCCGAAUGGGGAAACCCAGUGUGUUUCGACACACUAUCAUUAACUGAAUCCAUAGGUUAAUGAGGCGAACCGGGGGAACUGAAACAUCUAAGUACCCCGAGGAAAAGAAAUCAACCGAGAUUCCCCCAGUAGCGGCGAGCGAACGGGGAGCAGCCCAGAGCCUGAAUCAGUGUGUGUGUUAGUGGAAGCGUCUGGAAAGGCGCGCGAUACAGGGUGACAGCCCCGUACACAAAAAUGCACAUGCUGUGAGCUCGAUGAGUAGGGCGGGACACGUGGUAUCCUGUCUGAAUAUGGGGGGACCAUCCUCCAAGGCUAAAUACUCCUGACUGACCGAUAGUGAACCAGUACCGUGAGGGAAAGGCGAAAAGAACCCCGGCGAGGGGAGUGAAAAAGAACCUGAAACCGUGUACGUACAAGCAGUGGGAGCACGCUUAGGCGUGUGACUGCGUACCUUUUGUAUAAUGGGUCAGCGACUUAUAUUCUGUAGCAAGGUUAACCGAAUAGGGGAGCCGAAGGGAAACCGAGUCUUAACUGGGCGUUAAGUUGCAGGGUAUAGACCCGAAACCCGGUGAUCUAGCCAUGGGCAGGUUGAAGGUUGGGUAACACUAACUGGAGGACCGAACCGACUAAUGUUGAAAAAUUAGCGGAUGACUUGUGGCUGGGGGUGAAAGGCCAAUCAAACCGGGAGAUAGCUGGUUCUCCCCGAAAGCUAUUUAGGUAGCGCCUCGUGAACUCAUCUCCGGGGGUAGAGCACUGUUUCGGCAAGGGGGUCAUCCCGACUUACCAACCCGAUGCAAACUGCGAAUACCGGAGAAUGUUAUCACGGGAGACACACGGCGGGUGCUAACGUCCGUCGUGAAGAGGGAAACAACCCAGACCGCCAGCUAAGGUCCCAAAGUCAUGGUUAAGUGGGAAACGAUGUGGGAAGGCCCAGACAGCCAGGAUGUUGGCUUAGAAGCAGCCAUCAUUUAAAGAAAGCGUAAUAGCUCACUGGUCGAGUCGGCCUGCGCGGAAGAUGUAACGGGGCUAAACCAUGCACCGAAGCUGCGGCAGCGACGCUGAUGCGUUGUUGGGUAGGGGAGCGUUCUGUAAGCCUGUGAAGGUGUGCUGUGAGGCAUGCUGGAGGUAUCAGAAGUGCGAAUGCUGACAUAAGUAACGAUAAAGCGGGUGAAAAGCCCGCUCGCCGGAAGACCAAGGGUUCCUGUCCAACGUUAAUCGGGGCAGGGUGAGUCGACCCCUAAGGCGAGGCCGAAAGGCGUAGUCGAUGGGAAACAGGUUAAUAUUCCUGUACUUGGUGUUACUGCGAAGGGGGGACGGAGAAGGCUAUGUUGGCCGGGCGACGGUUGUCCCGGUUUAAGCGUGUAGGCUGGUUUUCCAGGCAAAUCCGGAAAAUCAAGGCUGAGGCGUGAUGACGAGGCACUACGGUGCUGAAGCAACAAAUGCCCUGCUUCCAGGAAAAGCCUCUAAGCAUCAGGUAACAUCAAAUCGUACCCCAAACCGACACAGGUGGUCAGGUAGAGAAUACCAAGGCGCUUGAGAGAACUCGGGUGAAGGAACUAGGCAAAAUGGUGCCGUAACUUCGGGAGAAGGCACGCUGAUAUGUAGGUGAAGUCCCUCGCGGAUGGAGCUGAAAUCAGUCGAAGAUACCAGCUGGCUGCAACUGUUUAUUAAAAACACAGCACUGUGCAAACACGAAAGUGGACGUAUACGGUGUGACGCCUGCCCGGUGCCGGAAGGUUAAUUGAUGGGGUCAGCGCAAGCGAAGCUCUUGAUCGAAGCCCCGGUAAACGGCGGCCGUAACUAUAACGGUCCUAAGGUAGCGAAAUUCCUUGUCGGGUAAGUUCCGACCUGCACGAAUGGCGUAAUGAUGGCCAGGCUGUCUCCACCCGAGACUCAGUGAAAUUGAACUCGCUGUGAAGAUGCAGUGUACCCGCGGCAAGACGGAAAGACCCCGUGAACCUUUACUAUAGCUUGACACUGAACAUUGAGCCUUGAUGUGUAGGAUAGGUGGGAGGCUUAGAAGUGUGGACGCCAGUCUGCAUGGAGCCGACCUUGAAAUACCACCCUUUAAUGUUUGAUGUUCUAACGUUGACCCGUAAUCCGGGUUGCGGACAGUGUCUGGUGGGUAGUUUGACUGGGGCGGUCUCCUCCUAAAGAGUAACGGAGGAGCACGAAGGUUGGCUAAUCCUGGUCGGACAUCAGGAGGUUAGUGCAAUGGCAUAAGCCAGCUUGACUGCGAGCGUGACGGCGCGAGCAGGUGCGAAAGCAGGUCAUAGUGAUCCGGUGGUUCUGAAUGGAAGGGCCAUCGCUCAACGGAUAAAAGGUACUCCGGGGAUAACAGGCUGAUACCGCCCAAGAGUUCAUAUCGACGGCGGUGUUUGGCACCUCGAUGUCGGCUCAUCACAUCCUGGGGCUGAAGUAGGUCCCAAGGGUAUGGCUGUUCGCCAUUUAAAGUGGUACGCGAGCUGGGUUUAGAACGUCGUGAGACAGUUCGGUCCCUAUCUGCCGUGGGCGCUGGAGAACUGAGGGGGGCUGCUCCUAGUACGAGAGGACCGGAGUGGACGCAUCACUGGUGUUCGGGUUGUCAUGCCAAUGGCACUGCCCGGUAGCUAAAUGCGGAAGAGAUAAGUGCUGAAAGCAUCUAAGCACGAAACUUGCCCCGAGAUGAGUUCUCCCUGACCCUUUAAGGGUCCUGAAGGAACGUUGAAGACGACGACGUUGAUAGGCCGGGUGUGUAAGCGCAGCGAUGCGUUGAGCUAACCGGUACUAAUGAACCGUGAGGCUUAACC
rnacentral:rRNA from 1 species